rnacentral:rRNA from 1 species
UACGUAGGCAGCGAGCGUUGUUCGGAGUUACUGGGCGUAAAGAGUGCGUAGGCGGUUCUCUAAGUUUGGGGUGAAAUCUCCUGGCUUAACUGGGAGGGUGCGCCGAAGACUGGAAGGCUUGAGUAUGGGAGAGGUAAGCGGAAUUCCUGGUGUAGCGGUGAAAUGCGUAGAUAUCAGGAGGAACACCUGCGGUGUAGACGGCUUACUGGACCAUAACUGACGCUGAGGCACGAAAGCGUGGGUAGCAAACAGG